rnacentral:rRNA from 1 species
UAGGGAAUCUUCGGCAAUGGACGAAAGUCUGACCGAGCAACGCCGCGUGAGUGAAGAAGGUUUUCGGAUCGUAAAACUCUGUUGUUAGAGAAGAACAAGGACGUUAGUAACUGAACGUCCCCUGACGGUAUCUAACCAGAAAGCCACGGCUAACUACGUGCCAGCAGCCGCGGUAAUACGUAGGUGGCAAGCGUUGUCCGGAUUUAUUGGGCGUAAAGCGAGCGCAGGCGGUUUCUUAAGUCUGAUGUGAAAGCCCCCGGCUCAACCGGGGAGGGUCAUUGGAAACUGGGAGACUUGAGUGCAGAAGAGGAGAGUGGAAUUCCAUGUGUAGCGGUGAAAUGCGUAGGUAUAUGGAGGAACACCAGUGGCGAAGGCGGCUCUCUGGUCUGUAACUGACGCUGAGGCUAGAAAGCGUGGGGAGCAAACAGG